GUUUUCUACAAUGUCUUGCAACUGAUGGAAUUUUGGUCAAUUAGCUUUUCCAGUCACAAUGUUCCAAAAAUUAGAAGCCUUUUAAGAAGGCAUUGAGAAUCAAAAUGAAGCAGAUGGAGCCAUUGUUGUACUUUUCAAGCCUCCGGUAGGUAGCGUUGGGAGUGUAACUGUGACAUUUUCUACUAUGUAUGUGAUUCAAAUGGGAACAACUCCAGAUAUCCUUUUGAUAUGACUUAUUUUUGACAUUAAUCCUUGGUGGUGC
rnacentral:lncRNA from 1 species